ACUCCGGUUCUGCAGUGGAUACGGGCAUGCUAGAGGUAGGUAGGGGAGACUGGAAUUCCUGGUGUAGCGGUGAAAUGCGCAGAUAUCAGGAGGAACACCGGUGGCGAAGGCGGGUCUCUGGGCCUUACCUGACGCUGAGGAGCGAAAGCAUGGGGAGCGAACAGGAUUAGAUACCCUGGUAGUCCAUGCCGUAAACGUUGGGCGCUAGGUGUGGGGACUUUCCACGGUUUCCGCGCCGUAGCUAACGCAUUAAGCGCCCCGCCUGGGGAGUACGGCCGCAAGGCUAAAACUCAAAGGAAUUGACGGGGGCCCGCACAAGCGGCGGAGCAUGUUGCUUAAUUCGACGCAACGCGAAGAACCUUACCAAGGUUUGACAUCACCCGUGGACUCGCAGAGAUGUGAGGUCAUUUAGUUGGCGGGUGACAGGUGGUGCAUGGCUGUCGUCAGCUCGUGUCGUGAGAUGUUGGGUUAAGUCCCGCAACGAGCGCAACCCUUGUUCCAUGUUGCCAGCACGUAAUGGUGGGGACUCAUGGGAGACUGCCGGGGUCAACUCGGAGGAAGGUGGGGAUGACGUCAAGUCAUCAUGCCCCUUAUGUCUUGGGCUGCAAACAUGCUACAAUGGCCGGUACAAUGGGCGUGCGAUACCGUAAGGUGGAGCGAAUCCCUAAAAGCCGGUCUCAGUUCGGAUUGGGGUCUGCAACUCGACCCCAUGAAGGUGGAGUCGCUAGUAAUCGCGGAUCAGCAACGCCGCGGUGAAUACGUUCCCGGGCCUUGUACACACCGCCCGUCACGUCAUGAAAGUCGGCAACACCCGAAACUUGCGGCCUAACCCCUUGUGGGAGGGAGUGAGUGAAGUGUGGGGCUGGCGAUGGACGAAGUCGGCUAGAUACCGAUAUUCGG
rnacentral:rRNA from 1 species